UAAUUCCUGGGGCGUGCGAGAACCUCACUUAUUUUGAUCCUACAUUUCAUCGACGGGAUUCCUAUAUCUCCAUUCUAAUGUCGGGCCUCCUCUGAGUGGAUGGCAGCGGUAUGGAUGCGGUAACCCACCUAGCAUUGCUAGGAGUCGAAAACGUGGGGAACGGCGCUUUGGGAUAAUU
rfam:Eubacterium sp. CAG:76 genomic scaffold, scf53